rnacentral:sRNA from 1 species
GGAGCGCGGGCGGUGGGCCCCUUGGUCCCCAGGCGGCCGUGGCGGCGGUGGCGGCGGUUGGGCCGAGGGAGACGGCCUCAGUGGCCGAGGUGGCUGGACGCGUAGCAGGUGGAAGGAGGGAGGGAGCCGCAGGCGCAGACCCACCCGCCAUGAAGCCCCCCGCAGCCUGUGCAGGAGACGUGGCGGACGCAGCAUCUCCGUGUUCUGUGCUAAACGACCUGCGAUGGGACCUGAGCGCCCAGCAGAUAGAGGAGCGCACCAGGGAGCUCAUUGAGCAGACCAAACGCGUGUACGACCAGGUCGGCACCCAGGAGUUUGAGGACGUGUCCUACGAGAGCACGCUCAAGGCGCUGGCCGAUGUGGAGGUCACCUACACAGUUCAGAGGAAUAUCCUUGACUUCCCCCAGCACGUUUCCCCCUCCAAGGACAUUCGGACGGCCAGCACGGAGGCCGACAAGAAGCUCUCUGAGUUCGACGUGGAGAUGAGCAUGAGGGAGGACGUGUACCAGAGGAUCGUGUGGCUCCAGGAGAAAGUUCAGAAGGACUCACUGAGGCCCGAGGCUGCGCGGUACCUGGAGCGGCUAAUCAAGCUGGGCCGGAGAAACGGGCUUCAUCUCCCCAGAGAGACUCAGGAAAACAUCAAAAGCAUCAAGAAGAAGCUGAGCCUGCUGUGCAUCGACUUCAACAAGAACCUGAAUGAGGACACGACCUUCCUGCCCUUCAUGCUCGAGGAGCUAGUGGCCGGGCCACCCUUCCCGCCACCCUCCUCCCUUCACACAUGGGG